rnacentral:lncRNA from 1 species
GUUUACUAUUAUGUUUUUAAUUGGUUAUUAUUACUGCUUAGAAUACAAUUGAUUUUAUAUGUUGAUUAGUUUCCUAGGGCUGCCACACAAAGUAUAAUAAACUGUGUGGCUGAAAUCACAUAAAUUUAUUCUCAUAGUUUGGGAGGCUAGAAUCUGAAAUCAAGGUGGCAGCAAGAUGGUGCUCCCUCUGAAGACUCUGGGGAAAAAUCCUUGCUCACCGAUCUCAGCUUCUAGGGACCCUAGGCAUUCCUUGGCUUGUGUUACCAUAACUCCAACCUCUGCCUCUAUCUCCACAUGGCCUCUUUCUCUCUGUCCUCUUUUCAUUUUACAAGGAUAUCAGUCGUUGAAUUUAGGGCCUAACCUAAACUGAGAAUGAGUCCAUCUGGAGAUCCUUAACUAAUUACAUCUGCAAAGACUCUAUAUCUAAAUAAGGUCACAGUCUGAGGUUCCAGGAGGACAUGAAUUUUGGGCGGAGAGUAUUCAGCUCACAGUCCUAUAUGAAACAACUCGACCAAGCUUUCUUAUUAUUUCUAAUAGUUUGUGGAUGAUUAGAUGGUCUUUUUAUAUCAUCAUCUAACAGACUAUUUUCUCAUUUUCUGUCUCUCUUGUCAUUCCUUCCCCCCCCCUCAGGUUUUCUUACUUUUUCUACAACUCCAGGAAAAUACUGAACAAAAGUUGCAAUGACAAACAUUAAUUUGUUCCUAACUUUAGUAUGAAUUCUUCAAAGAUUUCAAAGAGAUAAAGUCUCAGCCAGGCAAACCCGUUGCUCAACGUUUGGAUUGAUGGCCAGAUGCCCAUACUCUCCAGCUCAGGCUGUGCAGAUCCACCCAAAUUGUUCAGGAAACUAAACACAUCACUAUCUGAAGGAAGAAGCUUGUGGAUCCAGGCUCAAAGUAUGCAGACUGCAAUAACCAUAUGCGAUUUGCUUCGGCACAGAGGAGAGGUACCCCAAUGCUACAUUGGUGGCUUCAGAACAAAGCCUUACUACCCCGUACCGUGGUCCCUGUGUGUGGGAUUGAGCAAAGUCUUUUCACUAAAGGCGCCUAAUCAUGACAGUGCGAAUGAUGAAUCAUAAGUCACUGUUGGUAUUAUUCUUUAUCUGAGCCUCCUGGGUCAUUUUUACAGUUUUCUAAAACUCCGCAAAGGUAGGAAUUGUGUUUCUGUGUUUUACAUACAUAUAUUUUUAUUCGAUAUUUCCCUUUUACUUGAUGGAUUGUAGUAGGGGAGUUUCAGUGCUUACACAACCUCUAAGAGCC